rnacentral:rRNA from 1 species
AGCAGCCGCGGUAAUUCCAGCUCCAAUAGCGUAUAUUAAAGUUGUUGCAGUUAAAAAGCUCGUAGUUGAAUUUCGGGGUCAGUAGGUCGGUCGUGCCACUGGUAUGAACUGGUUUUACUGAUUCCUCCCUCUUGAAGAACUGUAAUGCCAUUAAUUUGGUGUUGCAGGGAAUCAGGACUGUUACUUUGAAAAAAUUAGAGUGUUUAAAGCAGGCUUUAGCUUGAAUACAUUAGCAUGGAAUAAUGAAAUAGGACGUUUGAUCCUAUUUUGUUGGUUUCUAGGAUUGACGUAAUGAUUAAUAGGGAUAGUUGGGGGCAUUAGUAUUCAAUUGUCAGAGGUGAAAUUCUUGGAUUUAUUGAAGACUAACUACUGCGAAAGCAUUUGCCAAGGAUGUUUUCAUUAAUCAAGAACGAAAGUUAGGGGAUCGAAGACGAUCAGAUACCGUCGUAGUCUUAACCAUAAACUAUGCCGACUAGGGAUCGGAUGAUGUUAAUUUUUUUAAUGACUCA